rnacentral:ncRNA from 1 species
GUAUCUGAGGAGCGUUGCGACGGGACGACCCGCCAGGCUCAGAUAGUGGUUGCACAUACCAACGGCGCUCAGUCAUU